rnacentral:rRNA from 1 species
UUUCAGAUCAGAUUGCUGGAUGCGAGUAGGCGGAAUUCGUAGUGUAGCGGUGAAAUGCAUAGAUAUUACGAAGAACUCCAAUAGUGUAGACUGCUUACCAGACCAUAUCUGACACUAAGGCACGAAAGUGUGGGUAUCAAACAGGAUUAGAUACCCUGGUAGUCCACACAGUAAACGAUGAAUACUAACUGUUUGCGAUAUACAGCAAGUGGUCGAGCGAAAGCGUUAAGUAUUCCACCUGGGAAGUAUGCCGGCAACGGUGAAACCCAAAGGAAUUGACGGGGGCCCGCACAAGCGGAGGAACAUGUGGUUUAAUUCGAUAAUACGCGAGGAACCUUACCCGGGCUCGAACGAUAUUUGAAUACAUCCGAAAAGAUGUAGCUAGCAAUAGCAAAUACCGAGGUGCUGCAUGGUUGUCGUCAGCUCGUGCCGUGAGGUGUCGACUUAAGUGUCAUAACGAGCGCAACCCUUACCGAUAGUUACCAUCAGAUAAUGCUGGGGACUCUAUUGGGACUGCCACCGUAAGGUGUGAGGAAGGAGAGGAUGACGUCAAAUCAGCACGGCCCUUAUGUCCGGGGCGACACACGUGUUACAAUGGGAGAAACAAAGGGUCGCUACCUGGCAACAGGAUGCUAAUCUCGAAAAUCUCUCUCAGUUCGGAUUGGAGUCUGCAACUCGACUCCAUGAAGCUGGAUUCGCUAGUAAUCGCACAUCAGCCAUGGUGCGGUGAAUACGUUCCCGGGCCUUGUACACACCGCCCGUCAAGCCAUGGAAGCUGGAAGUACCUGAAGUAUGUAACUAAAAGAGCGUCCUAAGUAAU